rnacentral:rRNA from 1 species
UCAAACUGUCUCCUUUCUCUAACCAGUGAAACUAAUCCCCCCGUGAAGAAGCGGGGAUUCCACUAUAAGACGAGAAGACCCUGUGGAGCUUAAGACAAAAUAAUUAUUACUAUCUACAAAUAUCCUCCCGAGAGUUACACAUACAGUACUUUAAUUAUCUAACCUUUAGUUGGGGCGACUGCGGAGUAAAAUUAACCCUCCGCGCUAAACAACCUCCCACAAAGAGUCACAACUCUAUGUAUCAACACAUUGACAGCAAUUGACCCAAUUACUUGAGCAACGAAACAAGUUACCCCAGGGAUAACAGCGCAAUCCAUUUCAAGAGUCCUUAUCGACAAAUGGGUUUACGACCUCGAUGUUGGAUCAGGGUAUCCCAGUGGUGCAGCCGCUACUAAAGGUUCGUUUGUUCAACGAUUAAAACCCUACGUGA